rnacentral:rRNA from 1 species
CAGUAGCCACGGUAAUACGUAGGUGGCAAGCGUUGUCCGGAAUUAUUGGGCGUAAAGGGCUCGCAGGCGGUUUCUUAAGUCUGAUGUGAAAGCCCCCGGCUCAACCGGGGAGGGUCAUUGGAAACUGGGAAACUUGAGUGCAGAAGAGGAGAGUGGAAUUCCACGUGUAGCGGCGAAAUGCGUAGAGAUGUGGAGGAACACCAGUGGCGAAGGCGACUCUCUGGUCUGUAACUGACGCUGAGGAGCGAAAGCGUGGGGAGCGAACAGGAUUAGAUACCCCCGUAGUCCCUGUCUCUUAUAC